rnacentral:rRNA from 1 species
UACAGAGGGUGCAAGCGUUGUUCGGAAUCAUUGGGCGUAAAGGGCGCGUAGGCGGUUCUGUAAGUCGGAUGUGAAAGCCCAGGGCUCAACCUUGGAAGUGCAUUCGAAACUACAGAACUCGAGUCCCGGAGAGGGUGGUGGAAUUCCCAGUGUAGAGGUGAAAUUCGUAGAUAUUGGGAGGAACACCGGUGGCGAAGGCGACCGCCUGGACGGAGACUGACGCUGAGGCGCGAGAGCGUGGGGAGCAAACAGG